CAACAUGGUGCAGAAUAUGCCGCUGCAAAAAAUAGAGAAGAUUAACCGACGUUCAACGCGUCGGUUAUUUUUUUG
rnacentral:sRNA from 1 species